CUACGGGGGGCAGCAGUGAGGAAUUUUGCGCAAUGGGGGAAACCCUGACGCAGCAACGCCGCGUGAGUGAAGAAGGCCCUUGGGUCGUAAAGCUCUGUCAAUGGGGAAGAAGUUAUUAUGUGUUAAUAGCACAUUUUAUUGACGGUACCCAUGAAGGAAGCACCGGCUAACUCCGUGCCAGCAGCCGCGGUAAUACGGGGGGUGCAAGGGUUAUUCGGAAUUAUUGGGCGUAAAGGGCACGCAGGCGGUCCUGUCAGUCAGAUGUGAAAGCCCGGGGCUCAACCCCGGACGUGCAUUUGAAACAGCAGGACUUGAGUACGGGAGAGGAAAGGGGAAUUCCUGGUGUAGAGGUGAAAUUCGUAGAUAUCAGGAGGAACACCGGUGGCGAAGGCGCCUUUCUGGACCGAUACUGACGCUGAGGUGCGAAGGCGUGGGUAGCGAACGGGAUUAGAUACCCUCGUAGUC
rnacentral:rRNA from 1 species